GACGAACGCUGGCGGCGUGCUUAACACAUGCAAGUCGAACGAAGUUGCGCACGGGUUAGUAACGCGUAAUCACCCUUCCCUUCAGAGGGGGACAACAGUUGGAAACGACUGCUAAUACCGCAUACUGAAGGAUGGGCUUGCGUCUGAUUAGCUCGUUGGAGGGGUAACGGCCCACCAAGGCGAUGAUCAGUAGCCGGGUUGAGAGGAUGAACGGCCACAUUGGGACUGAGACAAGGCCCAGACUCCUACGGGAGGCAGCAGUGGGGAAUCUUCAGCAAUGGAGGAAAGUCUGACGGAGCAACGCCGCGUGAGUGAUGACGGCCUUCGGGUUGGAAAGCUCUGUUAAUCGGGACGCGGUACCGGAAUAGAAAGCCACGGCUAACUACGUGCCAGCAGCCGCGGUAAUAC
rnacentral:rRNA from 1 species